GUGGGGUGUCUCCACCCUGUUCUUUACCUUGGUCUGGGUGGGGUGUCUCCACCCCAUUCUUUUUGCCUUUUAUUUAUUUCUUUUUUUUAAUGUUUUGUGCAAAAAAUAUUUUUUAUUGUAAAAUGAAUGUAAUGUUUCUAUCUAAUAUUAAUCUUGAAUAAGACUUGUUGCCAUGAAUUGAAAUACUCUUAUGUUUUGAACAGUAGAAAAUCUUUCAUUCACGCUAAAAAUAAAAAAUAUUAAGUUUCAUGUAUUUUCGGUUGGCUGUGUUUUUGAGGUUAGCAUCAGUAACUCAACCAGGCAGAAGUUUAAACCAACCCUUCAAGGUCUGUUUUUGAGGGUAGUAUCGGUAACUAAACCAGGUUAUGGUAGGGAGAGGUUUAAACCAACCCUUCAAGGUCUGUUUUUGAGGGUAGUAUUGGUAACUAAACCAGGCAGAAGUUUAAACCCUUCAAGGUCUGAGAAUAUUGCCGUCUGUCAUGCCGGAGAACAAACCAUUUCUGCUAAUGUUGAAGAUGACUGCCAUUUAUUAAAAAACAAUAUCAAUCUUGUUAUUUUGCAUCUUUGCCAUGUAACCUAUGAAAUAAAUACACUGUAUCCUA